rnacentral:rRNA from 1 species
AGAGUUUGAUCCUGGCUCAGGACGAACGCUGGCGGCGCGCCUAACACAUGCAAGUCGAACGAGCGAGAGAGAGCUUGCUUUCUCGAGCGAGUGGCGAACGGGUGAGUAACGCGUGAGGAACCUGCCUCAAAGAGGGGGACAACAGUUGGAAACGACUGCUAAUACCGCAUAAGCCCACGACCCGGCAUCGGGUAGAGGGAAAAGGAGCAAUCCGCUUUGAGAUGGCCUCGCGUCCGAUUAGCUAGUUGGUGAGGUAAUGGCCCACCAAGGCGACGAUCGGUAGCCGGACUGAGAGGUUGAACGGCCACAUUGGGACUGAGACACGGCCCAGACUCCUACGGGAGGCAGCAGUGGGGAAUAUUGCACAAUGGGGGAAACCCUGAUGCAGCGACGCCGCGUGGAGGAAGAAGGUCUUCGGAUUGUAAACUCCUGUUGUUGAGGAAGAUAAUGACGGUACUCAACAAGGAAGUGACGGCUAACUACGUGCCAGCAGCCGCGGUAAAACGUAGGUCACAAGCGUUGUCCGGAAUUACUGGGUGUAAAGGGAGCGCAGGCGGGAAGACAAGUUGGAAGUGAAAUCCAUGGGCUCAACCCAUGAACUGCUUUCAAAACUGUUUUUCUUGAGUAGUGCAGAGGUAGGCGGAAUUCCCGGUGUAGCGGUGGAAUGCGUAGAUAUCGGGAGGAACACCAGUGGCGAAGGCGGCCUACUGGGCACCAACUGACGCUGAGGCUCGAAAGUGUGGGUAGCAAACAGGAUUAGAUACCCUGGUAGUCCACACCGUAAACGAUGAUUACUAGGUGUUGGAGGAUUGACCCCUUCAGUGCCGCAGUUAACACAAUAAGUAAUCCACCUGGGGAGUACGACCGCAAGGUUGAAACUCAAAGGAAUUGACGGGGGCCCGCAC